AUGCAGGAUGACACGCAAAUUCGUGAAGAGUUCCAUAUUUUUGAAGUGAGCCAAAAAUUAAGUGAGAUCCAAGCAACAACACUGACUGAAGAGAGGGUUCCAUUGGAGCCAAGUGCUGGAUCCCCACUGUAUAUGAAAGGGUCACUAAGUCAGGGAUUCCAAUUUCCUGACACCGAGAUCUGCAAGAUGUUCCAAAGGGGUUCAGCUUUUAUCUUGCAUAUGAAUUUUUUGAUGUUCUUCCUAUACAUAAGUUUCAGAAAACACCGAAAGGAUGGCGAGAAGUGUUCAUUGAUAUCGAUCCGCAAGUUUCUAAUAAACUGAGGUUUGUUUUGGCGCCUUGUGCCACCUCAGCAGAAGCCUUCCUACAAAGUGAUGAAACACGGGAUAUGUGGAAGUGUGUCCUGAUGCUGGUGUUGUUAUUCAGGAACUUUCUCAACACAUUGCACUAACUGGAGGUGCUGCAGUGAUUGCCGAUUAUGGUCACGAUGGAACGAAGACAGAUACCUUCAGAGGCUUCUGUGGUCACAAGCUCCAUGAUGUCUUAGUUGCUCCAGGAACAGCAGACCUAACAACUGAUGUGGACUUCAGUUACUUCCGCAGAAUGGCACAGGGAAAAGUGGCCUCUCUGGGUCCAAUAAAACAGCAAAUGUUUUUAAAAAACAUGGGUAUUGAUCUCCGGCUGAAGGUUCUUUUAGAUAAUUCACCUGAGCCAUCUGUAAGACAGCAGUUACUUCAGGGAUAUGAUACGUUCAUGAACCCUAAGAAGAUGGGAGAAAGAUUUAACUUUUUUGCCUUGGUACCUCAUCAGAGACUUCCUGAUGGAAGCCAUCAGAUGAAUGCAUGUGAAUCAAAAUCCUCUCCAGCACCUGUAACUGGGUUUGACGAACUUGUUUGGCGGUGACAUUUCACUCUGGACUUUUUACCCAUCUGCUUAAGAAAUCAAAAGAAAGGGAACACAUUUCAUACAUU